GGGUGAGUAACACGUGGAUAACCUACCUAUAAGACUGGGAUAACUUCGGGAAACCGGAGCUAAUACCGGAUAAUAUUUUGAACCGCAUGGUUCAAAAGUGAAAGACGGUCUUGCUGUCACUUAUAGAUGGAUCCGCGCUGCAUUAGCUAGUUGGUAAGGUAACGGCUUACCAAGGCAACGAUGCAUAGCCGACCUGAGAGGGUGAUGGCCACACUGGAACUGAGACACGGUCCAG
rnacentral:rRNA from 1 species